rnacentral:rRNA from 1 species
UACGUAGGUCCCGAGCGUUGUCCGGAUUUAUUGGGCGUAAAGCGAGCGCAGGUGGUUCAUUAAGUCUGGUGUAAAAGGCAGUGGCUCAACCAUUGUAUGCAUUGGAAACUGGUAGACUUGAGUGCAGGAGAGGAGGGUGGAAUUCCAUGUGUAGCGGUGAAAUGCGUAGAUAUAUGGAGGAACACCGGUGGCGAAAGCGGCUCUCUGGCCUGUAACUGACACUGAGGCUCGAAAGCGUGGGGAGCAAACAGG